rnacentral:rRNA from 1 species
AACGAACGCUGGCGGCAUGCCUAACACAUGCAAGUCGAACGAGACCUUCGGGUCUAGUGGCGCACGGGUGCGUAACGCGUGGGAACCUGCCCUUAGGUUCGGAAUAACUCCCCGAAAGGGGUGCUAAUACCGGAUAAUGUCUUCGGACCAAAGAUUUAUCGCCUUUGGAUGGGCCCGCGUUGGAUUAGCUAGUUGGUAGGGUAAAAGCCUACCAAGGCGACGAUCCAUAGCUGGUCUGAGAGGAUGAUCAGCCACACUGGGACUGGGACACAGCCCAGACUCCUACGGGAGGCAGCAGUGGGGAAUAUUGGACAAUGGGCGAAAGCCUGAUCCAGCAAUGCCGCGUGAGUGAUGAAGGCCUUAGGGUUGUAAAGCUCUUUUACCCGGGAUGAUAAUGACAGUACCGGGAGAAUAAGCUCCGGCUAACUCCGUG